rnacentral:rRNA from 1 species
UCGCCUCUUGUUAACCCCACAUAAGAGGUCCCGCCUGCCCUGUGACCCCUGGUUUAACGGCCGCGGUAUCCUGACCGUGCGAAGGUAGCGCAAUCACUUGUCCCUUAAAUGAGGACCUGUAUGAAUGGCAUUACGAGGGCUUAACUGUCUCCUUUCCCCGGCCAAUGAAAUUGAUCUCCCCGUGCAGAAGCGGGGAUACUAACAUAAGACGAGAAGACCCUAUGGAGCUUUAGACACCAGAACAGACCAUACCAACUGCCACCUUAACACAAGCAGUAACUAUUGAAUCCCUGUCCCCUGUCUUUGGUUGGGGCGACCACGGGGAAUAAGAAAACCCCCACGUGGACCGGGAACACACUUACUCCUAAAACCACGAGCAACCGCUCUAGAUUACAGAACUUCUGACCAAAAUAGAUCCGGCAACGCCGAUCAACGGACCCAGUUACCCUAGGGAUAACAGCGCAAUCCUCUUCAAGAGUCCAUAUCGACAAGAGGGUUUACGACCUCGAUGUUGGAUCAAGACAUCCUAGUGGUGCAGCCGCUAUUAAGGGUUCGUUUGUUCAACGAUUAAAGUCUUACGUGAUCUG